rnacentral:rRNA from 1 species
UACGGGGGGAGCAAGCGUUGUUCGGAUUUACUGGGCGUAAAGGGCGCGUAGGCGGCAAUUCAAGUCAUCUGUGAAAUCUCCGGGCUUAACUCGGAACGGUCAGAUGAUACUGCUUUGCUAGAGUGCGGAAGGGGCAAUCGGAAUUCUCGGUGUAGCGGUGAAAUGCGUAGAUAUCGAGAGGAACACCAGAGGUGAAGACGGGUUGCUGGGCCGACACUGACGCUGAGGCGCGAAAGCCAGGGGAGCGAACGGG